GCAGCCGGCUGGGAGGAGUGACGUCACUUCCUCCCAACGGAGAUAGCCGCGCGGGAGGAGGAAGGUAGGGAGGAGGGGAGUUCAAGAGGAGAACUCCCAUCUGCCUCAGCCUGCCACUGGACCAGGGAAACCACCCUCCAGGAAAAGGUAAGAACCUGGAGGGUGGCUAAAUGUAUGUCAGUAGGUCUGUCUGUGUGUGUGUGUAUGUCUGUGUGUAUGCCAGUAUGUCUGUGUGUGUGUGUGUGUGUCAGUAUGUCUGUGUGUGUGUGUGUGUGUGUGUCUCAGUAUGUCUGUGUGUAUGCCAGUAUGUCUGUGUGUGUGUGU